GCCUGCUUAGCAUAGUGGCUAAUGCGUUGCACUUGUAUCCUCGACAACAUGCAAAGAUCACAGGUUCGAUUCCUGUAGUAGGCA